GUGACCCCAGGAUGGGCGAGGCCACCCGCC
rnacentral:rRNA from 1 species